rnacentral:rRNA from 1 species
AGCGAACGCUAGCGGCGGGCCUAACACAUGCAAGUCGAGCGCAUACCUUCGGGUAUGAGCGGCGGACGGGUGAGUAACGCGUAGGUCAUCUACCCUUUGGUGGGGGAUAACCCAGGGAAACUUGGGCUAAUACCGCACGAGGUCUACGGAUCAAAGCCUUCGGGCGCCAGAGGAUGAGCCUGCGUCGCAUUACCUAGUUGGCGGGGUAACGGCCCACCAAGGGGACGAUGCGUAGCUGGUCUGAGAGGAUGAUCAGCCACACUGGGACUGAGACACGGCCCAGACUCCUACGGGAGGCAGCAGUGGGGAAUAUUGCGCAAUGGGAGAAACCCUGACGCAGCCACGCCGCGUGGGUGAUGAAGGCCUUCGGGUUGUAAAGCCCUGUCGGGAGGGACGGAAUUCUUGACGGUACCUCCAAAGAAAGCACCGGCUAACUCCGUGCCAGCAGCCGCGGUAAU